AUUGAACGCUGGAGGCAGGCCUAACACAUGCAAGUCGAACGAGAGGCGGACGGGUGAGUAAUGUCUGGGAAACUGCCCGAUGGAGGGGGAUAACUACUGGAAACGGUAGCUAAUACCGCAUACCAUCGGAUGUGCCCAGAUGGGAUUAGCUUGUAGGUGAGGUAACGGCUCACCUAGGCGACGAUCCCUAGCUGGUCUGAGAGGAUGACCAGCCACAUUGGAACGGGGACACGGUCCAUACUCCUACUGGAGGCAGAAGGUGGGAAUAGUGCACAAUGGGCGCAAGCCUGAUGCAGCUAUGCCGCGGGUAUGAAGAAGGCUUUCGGGUUUUAAAGUACUUUCAGCGGGGAGGCGUUACCCGCAGAAGAAGCACCGGCUAACUCCGUGCCAGCAGCCGCGGUAAUAC
rnacentral:rRNA from 1 species